rnacentral:rRNA from 1 species
UACGUAGGGCGCAAGCGUUGUCCGGAAUUAUUGGGCGUAAAGAGCUCGUAGGUGGCGUGUCGCGUCUGCCGUGAAAGCCCAUGGCUUAACUGUGGGUCUGCGGUGGAUACGGGCAGGCUGGAGGCUGGUAGGGGCAAGCGGAAUUCCUGGUGUAGCGGUGAAAUGCGCAGAUAUCAGGAGGAACGCCGGUGGCGAAGGCGGCUUGCUGGGCCAGUUCUGACGCUGAGGAGCGAAAGCGUGGGGAGCGAACAGG